rnacentral:rRNA from 1 species
GAUGAACGCUGGCGGCGUGCUUAACACAUGCAAGUCGAACGGAAAGGCCGAAGCUUGCUUCGGUACUCGAGUGGCGAACGGGUGAGUAACACGUGGGUGAUCUGCCCUGUACUUCGGGAUAGGCUUGGGAAACUGGGUCUAAUACCGGAUAUGACGAUCCCUUGGAUGGGGUUGUGGAAAGCUUUUGCGGUAUGGGAUGAGCUCGCGGCCUAUCAGCUUGUUGGUGGGGUAAUGGCCUACCAAGGCGUCGACGGGUAGCCGGCCUGAGAGGGUGUACGGCCACAUUGGGACUGAGAUACGGCCCAGACUCCUACGGGAGGCAGCAGUGGGGAAUAUUGCACAAUGGGCGCAAGCCUGAUGCAGCGACGCCGCGUGGGGGAUGACGGCCUUCGGGUUGUAAACUCCUUUCGCAAUCGACGAAGCCUUUUGGUGACGGUAGGUUGAGAAGAAGCACCGGCUAACUACGUG